rnacentral:lncRNA from 1 species
ACUUCCUAAGUCAUAUUCAUAUGCUUUGGCCAAAGACUUUAGAAUCAUAUCUUAGAGUAUUCUCCUUCCACCGUGGAAGGUUAGAGAUCCCUUGUUGUGCAUUCAUAUGCCUACAUGACUAGAUAGCUUGACCCCAACAAUGCCGUGGAUAAUCCGAAGGAAUGCCGUUGACAUGAUCAAAGAUCAAGGACCUAACCAUUAGACAUCUAUGAUGCCU